rnacentral:tRNA from 1 species
GUGUUAGUAUGUCAUUGGUAGACAGCCAAUUUUAUGGUCAGGAAGAUGUGGGUUCAAGUCCUGCCUUGGACA